rnacentral:rRNA from 1 species
ACAGCAGUAGCCACGGUAAUACGGAGGGUGCAAGCGUUAUCCGGAUUUAUUGGGUUUAAAGGGUCCGUAGGCGGAUCUGUAAGUCAGUGGUGAAAUCUCACAGCUUAACUGUGAAACUGCCAUUGAUACUGCAGGUCUUGAGUAAAUUUGAAGUGGCUGGAAUAAGUAGUGUAGCGGUGAAAUGCAUAGAUAUUACUUAGAACACCAAUUGCGAAGGCAGGUCACUAAGAUUUAACUGACGCUGAUGGACGAAAGCGUGGGGAGCGAACAGGAUUAGAUACCCCGGUAGUCCCUGUCUCUUAUAC